AAGGGGAAUGAACCUUGAGGCCAGGGAUGCUUAGUACGGCGAGUGAGCGGCAAAGCUCAAAUUUGAAAUCUGGCACCUUCGGUGUCCGAGCUGUAAUUUGAAGAAGGUAACUUUGGAGUUGGCUCUUGUCUAUGUUCCUUGGAACAGGACGUCACAGAGGGUGAGAAUCCCGUGCGAUGAGAUGCCCAAUUCUAUGUAAAGUGCUUUCGAAGAGUCGAGUUGUUUGGGAAUGCAGCUCUAAGUGGGUGGUAAAUUCCAUCUAAAGCUAAAUAUUGGCGAGAGACCGAUAGCGAACAAGUACAGUGAUGGAAAGAUGAAAAGAACUUUGAAAAGAGAGUGAAAAAGUACGUGAAAUUGUUGAAAGGGAAGGGCUUGAGAUCAGACUUGGUAUUUUGCGAUCCUUUCCUUCUUGGUUGGGUUCCUCGCAGCUUACUGGGCCAGCAUCGGUUUGGUUUUUUUGAUAAUGACUAAGGAAUGUGGCUCUACUUCGGUGGAGUGUUAUAGCCUUGGUUGAUACUGCCUGUCUAGACCGAGGACUGCGUCUUUUGACUACGAUGUUGGCAUCAUGAUCUUAAGCCACCCGUCUUGAAACACGGACAAAAA
rnacentral:rRNA from 1 species